rnacentral:rRNA from 1 species
GAUGAACGCCAGCUACAGGCUUAACACAUGCAAGUCGAGGGGUAACGAGAGGAAAGCUUGCUUUCCUUGUCGACGACCGGCGCACGGGUGAGUAACGCGUAUCCAACCUGCCCCCAACUAGGGAAUAACCUUGCGAAAGCAAGACUAAUACCCCAUAAUUUCCUCAGAUGUCAUCUGACGAGGAAUAAAGAUUUAUCGGUUGUGGAUGGGGAUGCGUCUGAUUAGCUUGUUGGCGGGGUAACGGCCCACCAAGGCAACGAUCAGUAGGGGUUCUGAGAGGAAGGUCCCCCACAUUGGAACUGAGACACGGUCCAAACUCCUACGGGAGGCAGCAGUGAGGAAUAUUGGUCAAUGGGCGGAAGCCUGAACCAGCCAAGUAGCGUGCAGGAUGACGGCCCUAUGGGUUGUAAACUGCUUUUAUACAGGAAUAAAGUUAGCCACGUGUGGUUAUUUGUAGGUACUGUAUGAAUAAGGACCGGCUAAUUCCGUGCCAGCAGCCGCCGUAA